rnacentral:rRNA from 1 species
AUUCCAGCUCCAAUAGCGUAUAUUUAAGUUGUUGCAGUUAAAAAGCUCGUAGUUGGAUUUCGGAUGGGUUUGACCGGUCCGCCUUUGGUGUGCACUGGUCGCGCCUAUCUUGCUGUCGGGGACGCGCUCCUGGCCUUAAUUGGCUGGGACGCGGAGUCGGCGAUGUUACUUUGAAAAAAUUAGAGUGUUCAAAGCAGGCCUAAGCUCUGAAUACAUUAGCAUGGAAUAACGCUAUAGGACUCUGGUCUUAUUGCGUUGGUCUUCGAGACCGGAGUAAUGAUUAAGAGGGACAGUUGGGGGCAUUCGUAUUUCAUUGUCAGAGGUGAAAUUCUUGGAUUUAUGAAAGACGAACUUCUGCGAAAGCAUUUGCCAAGGAUGUUUUCAUUG